rnacentral:lncRNA from 1 species
UGUUACACAAUUGUGUUCCAUACAUUAAUCAGCAGGAAGCCUUUGGACACUAAUAACAAUCUGUUCGUAUAUUAUAUACAUAUAUACCCUGAAGCCAAUAAAUGACCAUGUCUACUGUGAACUAACAUGUCCAUAACCAGACGACUACGUAACCGGCCUACAGCUAUGGACCGUUUGUAAGGACCACUGGACUAUAUAAGAUCUCUCAAUGGAUUUCAAGGACAGAAUUCGAUUAGACCACAAUUCGAUUAGGACGGAUUGGUACAAGAGAUUGGUACCGGAGAUUCCGCCAAGGUCUCCCCCCUCGUGGGUAGGCUGGAACUCAUGUGCUUAAUAUCCGAAAUACUCUAACAGGAACGAACAGUUAUUCCACUAUACGAUCACGUGCC